rnacentral:rRNA from 1 species
UACGUAGGGGGCAAGCGUUAUCCGGAUUUACUGGGUGUAAAGGGAGCGUAGGUGGCGAUGUAAGUCAGAUGUGAAAGGCUGGGGCUCAACCCCGGGACUGCAUUUGAAACUAUGUUGCUGGAGUGCAGGAGAGGUAAGUGGAAUUCCUAGUGUAGCGGUGAAAUGCGUAGAUAUUAGGAGGAACAUCAGUGGCGAAGGCGGCUUACUGGACUGUAACUGACACUGAAGCUCGAAAGCGUGGGGAGCAAAC